rnacentral:rRNA from 1 species
AGUGAACGCUGGCGGUAGGCCUAACACAUGCAAGUCGAACGGCAGCACAGUAAGAGCUUGCCCUUACGGGUGGCGAGUGGCGGACGGGUGAGGAAUACAUCGGAAUCUACUUUUUCGUGGGGGAUAACGUAGGGAAACUUACGCUAAUACCGCAUACGACCUACGGGUGAAAGCAGGGGAUCUUCGGACCUUGCGCGAUUGAAUGAGCCGAUGUCGGAUUAGCUAGUUGGCGGGGUAAAGGCCCACCAAGGCGACGAUCCGUAGCUGGUCUGAGAGGAUGAUCGGCCACACUGGAACUGAGACACGGUCCAGACUCCUACGGGAGGCAGCAGUGGGGAAUGUUGGGCAAUGGGCGCAAGCCUUAUCCAGCCAUACCGCGUGGGUGAAGAAGGCCUUCGGGUUGUAAAGCCCUUUUUUUGGGAAAGAAAAGCAGCAGGUUAAUACCCCGCUGUUCUGACGGUACCCAAAGAAUAAGCACCGGCUAACUUCGUG